rnacentral:rRNA from 1 species
UACGAAGGGGGCUAGCGUUGCUCGGAAUCACUGGGCGUAAAGCGCACGUAGACGGACUCUUAAGUCGGUGGUGAAAUCCUGGAGCUCAACUCCAGAACUGCCUCCGAUACUGGGAGCCUUCGAGUCCGGGAGAGGUGAGUGGAACUGCGAGUGUAGAGGUGAAAUUCGUAGAUAUUCGCAAGAACACCAGUGGCGAAGGCGGCUCACUGGCCCGGUACUGACGCUGAGGUGCGAAAGCGUGGGGAGCAAACAGG